UACGGAGGGUGCAAGCGUUGUCCGGAUUUAUUGGGUUUAAAGGGUGCGUAGGCGGCCCUGUAAGUCAGUGGUGAAAUUCUUGAGCUUAACUGAAGGAUUGCCAUUGAUACUGUAGGGCUUGAGUACAGAUGAGGUAGGCGGAAUUGAUGGUGUAGCGGUGAAAUGCAUAGAUACCAUCAAGAACACCGAUUGCGAAGGCAGCUUACUAAGCUGUAACUGACGCUGAUGAGCGAAAGCCAGGGGAGCAAACGGG
rnacentral:rRNA from 1 species